rnacentral:rRNA from 1 species
UGCGCAGGCGGUUAUAUAAGUCAGAUGUGAAAUCCCCGGGCUCAACCUGGGAACUGCAUUUGAGACUGUAUGGCUAGAGUGUGUCAGAGGGGGGUAGAAUUCCACGUGUAGCAGUGAAAUGCGUAGAUAUGUGGAGGAAUACCGAUGGCGAAGGCAGCCCCCUGGGAUAACACUGACGCUCAUGCACGAAAGCGUGGGGAGCAAACAGGAUUAGAUACCCUGGUAGUCCACGCCCUAAACGAUGUCUACUAGUUGUCGGGACUUAAUUGUCUUGGUAACGCAGCUAACGCGUGAAGUAGACCGCCUGGGGAGUACGGUCGCAAGAUUAAAA